GGGUGAGUAACGCGUGAGUAACCUGCCCUAGAGUGGGGGACAACAGUUGGAAACGACUGCUAAUACCGCAUAAGCCCACGGAUCCGCAUGGAUCUGCGGGAAAAGGAUUUAUUCGCUUUAGGAUGGACUCGCGUCCAAUUAGCUAGUUGGUGAGGUAACGGCCCACCAAGGCGACGAUUGGUAGCCGGACUGAGAGGUUGAACGGCCACAUUGGGACUGAGACACGGCCCAGACUCCUACGGGAGGCAGCAGUGGGGGAUAUUGCACAAUGGGGGAAACCCUGAUGCAGCGACGCCGCGUGGAGGAAGAAGGUUUUCGGAUUGUAAACUCCUGUCGUUAGGGACGAUAAUGACGGUACCUAACAAGAAAGCACCGGCUAACUACGUGCCAGCAGCCGCGGUAAAACGUAGGGUGCAAGCGUUGUCCGGAAUUACUGGGUGUAAAGGGAGCGCAGGCGGACCGGCAAGUUGGAAGUGAAAACUAUGGGCUCAACCCAUAAAUUGCUUUCAAAACUGCUGGCCUUGAGUAGUGCAGAGGUAGGUGGAAUUCCCGGUGUAGCGGUGGAAUGCGUAGAUAUCGGGAGGAACACCAGUGGCGAAGGCGACCUACUGGGCACCAACUGACGCUGAGGCUCGAAAGCAUGGGUAGCAAACAGGAUUAGAUACCCUGGUAGUCCAUGCCGUAAACGAUGAUUACUAGGUGUUGG
rnacentral:rRNA from 1 species